UGGGGAAUCUUGCGCAAUGGGCGAAAGCCUGACGCAGCAACGCCGCGUGUGUGAUGAAGGUCUUCGGAUCGUAAAGCACUGUCGGGAGGGACGAACAAGGUCAUGGCUAACAUCCAUGGCGUCUGACGGUACCUCCAAAGGAAGCACCGGCUAACUCUGUGCCAGCAGCCGCGGUAAUACAGAGGGUGCAAGCGUUGUUCGGAAUUAUUGGGCGUAAAGCGCGUGUAGGCGGUCUCGCAAGUUGGGUGUGAAAGCCCUCGGCUUAACCGAGGAAGUGCGCCCAAAACUACGAGACUUGAGUACCGGAGAGGGUGGUGGAAUUCCCGGUGUAGAGGUGAAAUUCGUAGAUAUCGGGAGGAACACCAGUGGCGAAGGCGACCACCUGGACGGAUACUGACGCUGAGACGCGAAAGCGUGGGGAGCAAACAGGAUUAGAUACCCCCGUAGUCC
rnacentral:rRNA from 1 species